rnacentral:misc_RNA from 1 species
ACGUGAGUGGUUUUGUAACCCGGCAUUUCGGCGUGCCCUGCUUCCGUGCAGCCGACUGCGAGUGCAAUGGGAUGCAUCGUUUGGUAAAUCCCUCCGUGUGGCUCCGUCCGACGUUGAGGGCAUAUUCGGUGGGUUGUAUCGCAUAACCAGGAUGCGGCAAGUCGGUGACCCUACAUUGAUUAACAUAUCGUUCCACUCUUUCCCUCCCCUCGGACGGGUGAGAAGUGGCCUCUGACGAGGUCCCGUGUGUCCCUGGCAGCUUGUUCGGCAGCACAUCGUCUGUCUGGCCAUCGGGACCAUUGUGUGCUUACGGAUGCAGUGAAUCGGGUGGGCUCGGGUUGGUCCCGCGUGGCUCCCGACCCUCGAACGGAUGCCAUUUGGUGUCUGCGCACGCCGCGAGUGGGCAGAUGAGUAAACGGAAGGUAUUUUGUGUUUGCGCACGCUGUGAGCGGGCAACUGAGGAAAUGGAAGGCUUUGGGUGUUUGCGCACGCCGUGAGCGGGCGAAGGAUGGAAUGGACUGCCCGCGUGCGUCCUCGUCUUGCCAUCUAGGUGGAGAGAUGGGCCGCCUGCGGGUGUCGUCUCGGAGGAGGGUUCGCUACCUGGUUGAUC